CCGCGUGGCCUAAUGUAUAAGGCGUCUGACUUCUAAUCAGAAAAUUGUCGGUUAGACCCCCAGCUGUGG
rnacentral:tRNA from 1 species